GGCAUUGAAACACCGAUUCUCAUAUGAUCACUGAAGUUAAGCUACGUAAAGCCUGAACAGUACCUAAAUGGGUGACCGCUUGUUAAUACUAAGUGCUGUAA